GAUGAACGCUGGCGGCGUGCCUAAUACAUGCAAGUCGAGCGAACAGAUGAGGAGCUUGCUCCUCUGACGUUAGCGGCGGACGGGUGAGUAACACGUGGAUAACCUACCUAUAAGACUGGGAUAACUUCGGGAAACCGGAGCUAAUACCGGAUAAUAUAUUGAACCGCAUGGUUCAAUAGUGAAAGACGGUUUUGCAGUCACUUAUAGAUGGAUCCGCGCCGCAUUAGCUAGUUGGUAAGGUAACGGCUUACCAAGGCAACGAUGCGUAGCCGACCUGAGAGGGUGAUCGGCCACACUGGAACUGAGACACGGUCCAGACUCCUACGGGAGGCAGCAGUAGGGAAUCUUCCGCAAUGGGCGAAAGCCUGACGGAGCAACGCCGCGUGAGUGAUGAAGGUCUUCGGAUCGUAAAACUCUGUUAUUAGGGAAGAACAAAUGUGUAAGUAACUAUGCACGUCUUGACGGUACCUAAUCAGAAAGCCACGGCUAACUACGU
rnacentral:rRNA from 1 species